AAUAGAUUCAAUCAUUUACCGCAUUGCAACUGUUAAUAUCCGAUAUCUCACCACUUUCGAUAAAAUCAAGAAGUUUUGUUAAAUCUCCACUGCGGGCAGCUCGUAAAAAUGAUAUCGUUGAGUCGUUCUGUCAAUAAAGGAGUACGUCACCACACCGCAGUACCAUCCGGCCCUAAUAUCUCGUUCACUCCGCCAGUUACGACACAGAUGGGGAAGAGAGUGAAAGCGAACAAGUGCGCCUGCAAUGUGUCUACAGGACUUUUCCAUUUUGUUGUAUUUUAAAAAUUGUGGAUGUAUUUUCUCGUUCUGUGAGCGCGGUUACAAUGUUUAAUAUUGAGUAAAAAAAAAGAAUGUAGAUAUUUUAAGACUUGACCUGAAAUUCGUAGCUUCUGACACUCGUAAAUUUAUUAUUACAAAAUUUGUUGAUCUUAAUUGGCUAAAUUAAAUAAAGUGAUGCAUACAUACAUAUAUAAAUCAUUAUAGCACCUAGUUUCCAUGUUAAAAAUGGAAUGUACAUAUGUAAACGCCAUUUCCGCGCUUACAAAGACAAGCUACUAUUUUAAGUUUCAUCGGUGUUGACAGUAUAUGUAGUGUAUAAAUAAAUUUUCGACUAAAUAUGUACAUAUUUAUGUUACAUUA